ACAUUUUCAAAGUUUUAAACAUAUAAAUCUGAACCGAACCGAAUUUGUUAUUUUGAGUCGAUUCAGAUAUUUUAGAUCCAGUAUACUCAAGACUAAAAUAUACCGUUGAAGUAUAAAAUAUACCGUUUUGACAAUUAUCAAUCUUAAAAGUAAUAUCAAAAGUGUCACUUAAAACAUUACUUUUAGUAUUUGUAU
rnacentral:sRNA from 1 species